ensembl:lncRNA
UGUACUUUUCAGUCGCUGAGUUACAGAAACAGCUGAAGCUGGACUCAUGUUCCUUUCCCUUACUUGUCCAUGGCAGAAUAAAGAAGACUUUUGGAGCUGCUAGAUCACAGGGAGAAGACGUCCUUGGGAAACUCUGCUGGACAGACCUGGCCCGAGGGCGCCCUCAGGGCGAAUCCACUUUGAGGGACAAGCUGGUGCCGUACCAGGCCGUCUCCACCUCAAGGCUGUGCUGCCACUGCCAAGAUGGCGACCACUGGACCCGGCGCUUUCAGCGCCAUAAUGACUGGUGAUGUCGCUGAGACCAGGAACAACAAAGCCUCAAAAUUUCAUUCAACCGAAGUCCAUCGUCAAACUGCUUAUCCUGCACACGGGGUUGCUGGAGUCUAUCCCAGCCAACUUCGGGCGAGAGACGUGGUGCACCCUGGACUGGUCACCAACCAACCAGGGCAGACUUACCACCAUUCACACAUCUACGGGCCAUUUAGAGUCCCUAAAUCAACCUGAUCCUCAGAGCGUGUCGGAGAGAACCCACGCAGACACGGGGAGAACAGAAAGGCCACUGGGCGGAGUCGAACCCGGGACCUUCUUGCUGUGAGGCGACAGUGAUACCCACCACACCACCGUGCCGCCCUCAUUCAACCAAAGUGGAUGAGUAAAAUAAAACUAAGGUUUCUCUGAUUAGUCAAAGAGUUGGUGCCACAUCCCACUUGAGCCUUUGGAGUGAGCUGGUGAGGUCUGAAUGGCAGACCUUUCCAGAACACAUGAUCACAACGCUGCUUUGCCUGAUGGAACCAGCAAGACAUCAUCAUGAAGUGUAUGAGCCUUCAAAACGUUCAGCAACAACGAAACACAAGUUGAUGAAUAUUGGCAUUCAGUUAAAAAGGCAUCCGCUCACAGGACAAACAAAAACUAUAUAUUUCCCCCAUAAAUCAGCACAACAUAAUUUAUUUAUGAGAUCCAAUGCCUUAAUGUAAACAUGGGAGCCAGGCAGGGCCGUGAGUAUGAUUCCCCCGCUGUAAAUUUCAUUCUGUGCAACUUUUUUUAACAUGCUACUUUAAUGUAAUUAAAGUAUUUCUUCUUCUGCUUUGCACUGACCCCGAGUUGCAGGCCCUGCAAACAUCUGACAGAACUUUUGUUUAGUCUCUGAGAGAUGCCCUGACGUGUGUUCCGUCUGCUGCUUACCUUCUGUGCGGUGUCCGCCUGGGAAAGCGCAAUCUACAAAAGCACACUGUGGCGAACUGUCGGGGUUGAAGCUUGUCCUGCAAUCCUCCCCCCCUGUAAUCAACAAAGCUUUGCUUCUCGCUCUUUGAUGUGCCGGCACCUCGGUGCUGCUGGGCAUGAUGCUCCCAGCUUUUCCUUGCAUCCUCAGUCGAGAGUCUGCAGAAACCAACGCUCUCCAGUCGCCAUGGAGGGGUUUUGUCAAUCAAGAAAAAAUGCUUGGCACUCUAAACAUUCAACUUUUUGAAGACAAACUUACAUGGAAGAGAAGUCCAGAUUCGGGUUUUUUUGUGUGUCUGUCUCAGUGGUGGUAUGACGUUUA